rnacentral:rRNA from 1 species
UAGGGAAUCUUCCGCAAUGGGCGAAAGCCUGACGGAGCAACGCCGCGUGAGUGAUGAAGGUCUUCGGAUCGUAAAACUCUGUUAUUAGGGAAGAACAAAUGUGUAAGUAACUAUGCACAUCUUGACGGUACCUAAUCAGAAAGCCACGGCUAACUACGUGCCAGCAGCCGCAGUAAUACGUAGGUGGCAAGCGUUAUCCGGAAUUAUUGGGCGUAAAGCGCGCGUAGGCGGUUUUUUAAGUCUGAUGUGAAAGCCCACGGCUCAACCGUGGAGGGUCAUUGGAAACUGGAAAACUUGAGUGCAGAAGAGGAAAGUGGAAUUCCAUGUGUAGCGGUGAAAUGCGCAGAGAUAUGGAGGAACACCAGUGGCGAAAGCGGCUCUCUGGUCUGUAACUGACGCUGAGGCUCGAAAGCGUGGGGAGCGAACAGG